UCUUAAGGACGAACAGAGAAAGUGUUUUCUUGGGAUGGAAUCUACUCCUGGUGAAGAUGCUGUGGA
rnacentral:pre_miRNA from 1 species